GACGAACGGCUGGCGGCGCGCCUAACACAUGCAAGUCGAACGGAGUUAAUCAUACUGAAUCUUCGGAGGACGAAUGAUUGACUUAGUGGCGAACGGGUGAGUAACGCGUGAGUAACCUGCCUUAAAGAGGGGGGACAACAGUUGGAAACGACUGCUAAUACCGCAUAAGCCCACAGUACCGCAUGGUACAGUGAGAAAAGAUUUUAUCGCUUUAAGAUGGACUCGCGUCUGAUUAGCUAGUUGGUGGGGUAACGGCCUACCAAGGCGACGAUCAGUAGCCGACCUGAGAGGGUGAUCGGCCACAUUGGAACUGAGACACGGUCCAAACUCCUACGGGAGGCAGCAGUGGGGAAUAUUGGGCAAUGGGGGAAACCCUGACCCAGCAACGCCGCGUGAAGGAAGAAGGCCUUCGGGUUGUAAACUUCUUUUAGUAGGGACGAAGAACGUGACGGUACCUACAGAAAAGCAACGGCUAACUACGUG
rnacentral:rRNA from 1 species